UACGUAGGUGGCAAGCGUUGUCCGGAUUUAUUGGGUUUAAAGGGUGCGUAGGUGGCCCUGUAAGUCAGUGGUGAAAUAUCUCAGCUUAACUGAGAGGGUGCCAUUGAUACUGCAGGGCUUGAGUACAGAUGAGGUAGGCGGAAUUGACGGUGUAGCGGUGAAAUGCAUAGAUAUCGUCAAGAACACCGAUAGCGAAGGCAGCUUACCAAGCUGUAACUGACACUGAGGAGCGAAAGCGUGGGGAGCGAACAGG
rnacentral:rRNA from 1 species